ACUUAAGGAUUAAAUGCUGACUACAACUGUUGUUUCAGUUCAGUUCAGUCGCUCAGUCGUGUCCGACUUUGCGACCCCAUGAAUCGCAGCACACCAGGCCUCCCUGUCCAUUACCAACUCCUGGAGUUCACUCAGACUCACGUCAGUGAUGCCAUAGUUUAAAGAGCAGCUUGCCAGGUUCCCUGCACCUGCUUAUAUACUGGGCCAGAUGACUGACUGUAGAACUUUAGGCAGCUUCUGUAAUAGUUCAGAGACUUCUCAGAGUCAAGAAACAUCCUUAAAGAAGCAAAUCUAGAGCUCAUGCCAGAUCUUAACGCUGUUCUGGCCUUGUGUUGCCAUCUCGGUAUUGCUGUCUAGAGUGGAGCAACCUACCUAAAGCUUAGUCUAAGUUUUGUGAUGCCACCUCAGUGUCUUAGGUCACCACUGCUCAUGUCCCUCACUGAGGGAACAUACUGAAUAGGUUCCUCAAAACCUGCGUCAUUAUUUCCUGUUUCUUUCACUGUGAAGAAUAGAGGGAUCCUCAGCUGAAGAUCAAAUUGACCCAAUGAGGCUUUUUUUUAAUCUAGGCCAAUGAAAGGAAGAGGAAGGAGCCCGAAUUCAGAAAGAGGGAGUCAUAAUAUAAGAUCUGCAAUGUAUUGACAUGGUAACUCUUUGAAGACUAAGAGAAACAGAAUCCUAUUUGAAUUCUGAACUAUGGAGUCUGAGAUGAAGACGAAAUUGAGAUGUUUCUAUUGGAAUUUGGGCUGACUGGUUCCCUGAUGUGUUACCUGCUUCUGCCACUGAUUGAAACUGCAGAACUUCUCAUUCGUCCCCAAGACUUCCAGUAGGGAAUCAGCUCUAAAAGAAACCAGACCAACGUUUGCCAGCCCCUGCAUUCUGCUACCUCUAUGUGAGGAAUGGAUAG
rnacentral:lncRNA from 1 species